GGGAAAAUCUCGUAAAGAGUAUAUGGCGGAUGCCUAGACAUAAGAAACCGAUGAAGGACGUAGCAGCCUGCGAUAAGCUGCGGUGAGGUGGCAAGCAACCUUUGACCCGCAGAUCUCCGAAUGGGGAAACCCGCCGCGUCGAUAACGCGGUAACCGAGACCUCUUUUGGACUCGGUGGAAGACCCGGCGAACUGAAACAUCUUAGUAGCCGGAGGAAAAGAAAACAAUAGUGAUUCUCCUAGUAGUGGCGAGCGAACGGGGAAGAGCCUAAACCUGCCGAACUGAGAUUUCGAACUAGUUUACUAGGGAGAAAUCAGAAAGUUCUAGAGCUAUAUGUUCCGCAGGGGUUGCAAGGCAACGUGUCUGUCCUCUAGAUUGGACGGAGUAGAGUCAUAAAAUUUAAUUCUUAGCAAAAGCGAGCUGGAAAGCUCUGCCAGAGAAGGUGAUAGCCCUGUAAGCGAAAAGAAUUAAGUCUCUGCAGCGUUGUUCUUAAGUAGUGCGGGCCUCGUGAAAUCCCGUAUGAAUCAGGGUCGACUAUGACCCAAGGCUAAAUAUUUCUUAUGAUCGAUAGUGAACCAGUACCGUGAGGGAAAGGUGAAAAGCAUCCCGAGAGGGAGGUGAAAUAGUACCUGAAACCAUAUACUUACAAAGAGUCGGAGCCCAAUUUAUUGGGUGACGGCGUGCCUAUUGAAGAAUGAGCCAACGAGUUUGUUCUAUGUGGCUUACAUAAUCUCCUCCGGAGAGUAUGUGUAGUGAAAGCGAGGGUUAAUAGCCCGCAUUGUGCUUCACUUUUACGCAUUAAAUUUAUUUAGUGCGUUAAGGUGAAGUACACGUCGCAUGGACAAGACCCGAAGCCGGGUGAUCUAACCAUGUCCAGGUUGAACUUUGUCGAAAGAUAAAGGAAGGACCGAACCCACGAGCCGUGCAACACUCGGGGAUGAGAUGUGGUUAGCGCAGAAAUUGUAAUCGAACUCGGCAAUAGCUGGUUCUCCUCGAAAUAGUUUUUGGACUAGCCUCGAGCGCUGACAGUGGGGGGUAGAGCACUGGAUGAGGGCGGGUCGCAAGAUACCGUCUUCAAUCAAACUCCGAAUACCCAUUGGUGUAGCUCGGGAGUCAGACCAUGGGCGCUAAGGUUCAUUGGUCUAAAGGGAAACAGCCCAGAUCACAAUCUAAGGUCCCCAAAUCUAUACUAAGUGUAAAAGGUGGUGUUGUGACUACGACAGUUAGGAGGUUGGCUUAGAAGCAGCCAUCCUUUAAAGAUAGCGUAAUAGCUCACUAAUCAAGUUGUUUCGCGCCGAAAAUUUACCGGGGCUAAGUAUAGUACCGAAGAUGUGAACUCUCCAGAUUUUUGUUUUUUAUCGCAGUAACCGAGCCCUAAAUUUACGUUAGGGAGCUCGAAGUGCAGUACCGAUAGAAACUAAAAAUCUGGAGAGUGGUAGAGGAGCAUUCUCUUCAGCGUUGAAGUCGUGCCGUGAGGCCCGGUGGAGCGGAGAGAAGUGAGAAUGUUGGCAUGAGUAGCAAAAAGGCGGGUAAAAAUCCCGCCCACCGAAAGUCUAAGGUUUCCUGGGCAACGAGAAUCGACCCAGGGUUAGUCGGUCCUAAGGUGUAACUAAUGUAGUGUUAGUGUAACCGAUGGAAGAGCUGGUUAAUAUUCCAGUACUACUGUGUUUUUCCGAAGGAGGGACGCGGUUCCAAAGUUUGAGCGGGCUAUGGUAUGUCCGCUGGUGGUUUCAAGAAGCGGCCUAGGCAAAUCCGGGCCAACAGCUUCAAGAUUCAGCCUAAAGAUGAAGUCGCAAGACGGAUUCAAUCAAGUAGCGGAAUCGACGAGAAAAACUUCUAGGGCUAAGGGCACAGUAACCGUACCGUAAACCGACACAGGUAGACGAGGCGAGAAGCCUAAGGUGUACGAGAGAACCUUCGCUAAGGAACUCGGCAAAACAGCGGCCGUAAUUUCGAGAUAAGGCCUGCCCUGCGCAAGCAGGGCCGCAGCUAAAGAGCUCAAGGGACUGUUUAUCAAAAACACAGCUCUCUGCUAACUCGCAAGAGGAUGUAUAGAGGGUGAAGCCUGGCCAGUGUCCGAACGUUAAGAGGAGAGGUUAGCACUUCGGUGCGAAGCUUUGAAUCCAAGCGCGGAUGAACGCCGGCGAUAACUAUAAUCGUCCUAAGGUUUUGUGGUUUAUUACUAGACCGCAAAAGACUGGGACGAUUAUAAAUUGAUAAAUAACAAAGUUCGUUGCCUAGCUAUGGCGAAAGCCAUGGUUGUCUAAAAUACUCAGUAAAAUGCGUGAAAAUCCUCAAAAGAUUGAUAGUACUCGGGGUGUCGACCCCAGUAAAAAUCUAUCAAUACACGGGGCAAACGCGCAGGAUUAAUAAUCCUCAGAGACUUAAAAACUGAGACUCUAAAAUAUGCAAAUGAAUCCCUAUUGGGUAAGUGGAUUUGUAGAUGGUGAGGGAACUUUCUAUGUUGGAAUUAAUCAUAAUGAUUCAAUGAAGUCCGGUUAUCAAGUAUUACCAGAAUUUAGAGUUGUCCAGCAUGAGAAGGAUAUUAAAGUGUUGUAUGCGCUUAAAACAUAUUUCGGCGCUGGCGUUGUCAGGAUUAAUCAUGAUACACGUCAGGAGCUUAGAAUAAGAUCGUUAGAGCAUAUGAAUAAAUUUGUCAUUCCUCAUUUCGACAAAUAUCCGCUUUUAACUCAAAAGAAAUUUGAUUAUUUCAAAUUUAAGGAGAUUAUACAGAUAAUGAAUGCCGGCAAGCAUCUUUCUGCUGAAGGUAUUAAAGACAUUAUCGCUAUCGCUUCGAGAAUGAACAGGCAAAAUAAAAUUUGCGCUCAAUCAGUCUUGCGGGCGUUAGAUUCAUGUCACGAGUAAGAUAAAGUCCAUUCUUAAUAGAAAUAUUAAGUAAGUGAAGAGCGAAAUUCCUUGUCGGGUAAGUUCCGACCUGCACGAAUGGCUUAACCACUUGAGCACUGUCUCAGCGAAGGACUCGGUGAAAUUGCAAGACGAGUAAAGAUGCUCGUUAACCACAGUCGGACGAAAAGACCCCGUGAAGCUUUACUACAGCUUGAUAUUGAAUUAGGGAUAUGCAUGUUCAGAAUAGGUGGGAGCCUUCGGGCGCCAGUGAGAUACCACCCUUGUAUAUUUUUAAUUCUAACCUCGUUUUUACGAGGGACAGUGUCUGGUGGGUAGUUUGUCUGGGGCGGAUGCCUCCCAAAAUGUAACGGAGGCGUUUACAAAGGUUGGCUAUCCCGGAAUGGAAACCCGGGAGAUAGUGUAAAGGCACAAGCCAGCUUUACUGCGAGACUUACCGGUCAAGCAGUCGCGAAAGCGGAACUUAGUGAUCCGACCAUUCAAUAUAGGAUGGUGGAAGCUCAUCGGAUAAAAGCUACUCCGGGGAUAACAGGCUAGUCAGGUCCAAGAGUCCACAUCGACGACCUGGUUCGGCACCUCGAUGUCGGCUCGUCGCAUCCUGGGGGUGGAGAAGCUCCCAAGGGUUGGGCUGUUCGCCCAUUAAAGCGGCACGCGAGCUGGGUUCAGACCGUCGUAAGACAGGUCGGUCUCCUAUCCACUGUGGUCGUGGAAACUUGAAGAGGCCCUUCCUUAGUACGAGAGGACCGGGAAGGACGAAGCUCUAGUGUACCUGCUGUUCUACCAAGGGCAUUGCAGGGUAGCUACCUUCGGUUAAGAUAAGCGCUGAAAGCAUCUAAGCGCGAAGCUGUCUCUAAGAUUAGGUUUCACAGACUGGUUACAGAAUAUGACCUUGAUAGGCUGUACGUGUAAGUCCAGUAAUGGAUUGAGCGGAGCAGUACUAAUAAGUCGUUUGAUUUUCCCAC
rnacentral:rRNA from 1 species